AAAAAAAAAAAAAGAAAUAGAGAGUCAGGAAGUGGAGGUUAUCCCGGGCUGCAUGAAACCUUGUCUUCAAAAAACAAAACCAAACAAACCUCAGGGCUAUAGAACACUUGCUUGGCAUGUGCAAGGCCCCGAGUUUCAGUUCUACCACAAAUAAAUGCAUAAAUAAGGCAAAUGCCAUGCUAUAGAUGUUUUGCCGUUGUCAUGGAAACAGUCAUGAUAACGUGUUAACAGGCGACGCGUACUAUGGAGAAAAGAAGGGAAUAAGUAGACACGAGACUGAGGGUACAGUUCACAGCUGGCUGAGAGACGGUAAGUGACGUGGAUGGGGUCAGGGAGUCAGCACUGCAGAUCUCUGAGGCAAGUGUGGCCUCAGUCGGGGGAACAGUCAGUGCAAAGGUCCUCAGGCAGGAGGAUGAACAGCCGGCCCCGUGGGUUGGAGGAUAGUGAGCAAGAGAAAUGGAAUUAGGAGAUAACAUGCAGAAAAUGGGAGACCUCACAGCUAGUGCAAGGACUUCCCAUCUGUGGGUUGAAGUAGGGUUGAGUCUUAAUGAGUUGACAGAAAAAUGUUGAACAGUACUCAGGACGUUAAGUGUUUGCUGAUCACAGCAGGAGGGCUCAACGGGAGAAGUGGCCUUCCUUCGGGAACUACUACAGGCCAGGGCCACACGUGGAUAAUGCCUGGUGAUCAACCAACCUUAGGUGCUCCUGCAUCUCAACCUCUCUGUGUGAACCUGCUGACAGGAUCUCACAGGUAAGCCUUAGGAAUUCCUGGGAGAGAGAAUGUCACCAUCUUUGUGGUUUGAAGGAGGAACUACCCUAACGCCCCAAUGCCUGGAAGGAGAGGUGGGUAGGGCUAACACUAGCCAACCCUGACAAAGCCAAACUCUUUUUUGUCUACAUGCCUAGAAGGUGCAACCUGGGAUGCCAUGAACACAAUGGCCCCUUGGCCUGUGAGUCAUCCGAUGCCUAUUCUGACACAUACCCAAGCACUUGCCACCCAGAAAGCAACCUAAGAGGACCUAGCAACUUUCCUGGAAGAGCUGUCACACUGACCUAUCGAGAGUCCUCAGAUCUCUCUCCCACAAGGAGGCCUUGCUUGCCCUCCUCCUCCUUCCACCCCUCCACGUUGUCUCCUUAGAGAACAGGGCUCCUCCUCAGCCUUCCUCAAACACUCCAUCCUCAGAGACAGGCAGCUGAACAGUGAACAGGAACCCAGUGUGACUGGGAGUAACCCUGUGCCGCUGCGCUUCAGGCCGCGGCCUCCUAUUGGCUGGGUCUCAUGAGGCGAUGUGGGAGCAGGGCCCCGCCCUCCACCAGCUGCCAAGAAGCCGGCACAGGGCCAAGUCGCACAAGCUGAAUCUCUAAGCAGCUUGCCCAGGUUCAGAGAUGUUCAGUAACCCACUUGAGACUGCACAGCUUAAGUGGUGAAGCUGCCAUUCAAACCCAGGUAGCCUCUCUAUUGCUUCUGAAGACCUACCUAUCUCUGCUUGCAAAGAAUGGCAGAAGUGAGGAUUCCAGUCUCACCAAGGCCCUCAGCUCCUUUCCAAGUUACCCACAAAGAGCAUGUUGUAGCACUGGACCUGUCCCUACCUGGCACUAGCUGUCACAACCUGAAAAUCCUCUUGCUGCCAAGUUGCCGGAGCCCAGCCCAAGCUCCCUCCCUGACGCCCCGCAGCAGCGAGGAUCCACCUGCCUACUGGAUGAGAGAGCACCAGAGCGGCGGGGGAACCAGCCCAGCCGGCCGCAUCCACAGCUGUUCUUUCAAUCUGUCUCAAAGUUCCCCGGCCCCUGUGGGGAGUCUUCAGCUCCAGGCAAACCCUUGAGCAGUCCUACCAUCCAUCUGCCUAACACGCACCCUUUCCAGCUCCUAGGGGACCUUGGAGAGGGGCAAAAAGGGUUCCAGGUGCAGGGCUCAGCCUUCUCCGGGUGGAGCACUCGGGGAGGCUGAGGUUGCCCAGGGAAAGUAGAGAUUACUCAUACAUGGUAACAGCAUAAUUGCCUACUCGCUUCUUCCAAGAACAGUUAAUAAAACUAAAAGGAAAAGUUAAGCACCUCCCAAUUAAA
rnacentral:sRNA from 1 species